rnacentral:rRNA from 1 species
CCCUUAGAUGUCCUGGGCCGCACGCGCGUUACACUGAUGCAUUCAACGAGCUUAUAACCUUGGCCGAGAGGCCUGGGCAAUCUUGUUAACGUGCAUCGUGAUAGGGAUAGAUUAUUGAAAUUAUUAAUCUUGAACGAGGAAUUCCUAGUAAACGCAGAUCAUCAAUCUGCAUUGAUUACGUCCCUGCCCUUUGUACACACCGCCCGUCGCACCUACCGAUUGAAUGUUUCGGUGAAGAUUCCGGACCGUGGCGAGCGCGCUUCACGGCGCUCUUGCCGUGGGAAGUUAUCUAAACCUCAACAUUUAGAGGAAGGUGAAGUCGUAACA